rnacentral:rRNA from 1 species
AACGAACGCUGGCGGCAUGCCUAACACAUGCAAGUCGAACGAGACCUUCGGGUCUAGUGGCGCACGGGUGCGUAACGCGUGGGAACCUGCCCUUAGGUUCGGAAUAACUCCCCGAAAGGGGUGCUAAUACCGGAUAAUGUCUUCGGACCAAAGAUUUAUCGCCUUUGGAUGGGCCCGCGUUGGAUUAGCUAGUUGGUAGGGUAAAAGCCUACCAAGGCGACGAUCCAUAGCUGGCCUGAGAGGAUGAUCAGCCACACUGGAACUGAGACACGGCACAGACUCCUACGGUAGGCAGCAGUAGGGACGCUCGCACAAUGCGCGAAAGCCUGACGGAGCAAAGCCGCGUGAGUGAUGAAGGUCUUCGGAUCGGAAAACUCUGUUAUUAGGGAGGAACAACUGUGUAAGUAACUAUGCACGGCUUGACGGUACCUAAUCAGAAAGCCACGGCUAACUACGUG